CGACGAGUCGUCUUUUAGAUGACGAAGUGGUUGAUGCCAUGCUUCCAAGAAAAGCUUCUAAGCUUCAGGUAACCAGGAACCGUACCCCAAACCGACACAGGUGGUCGGGUAGAGAAUACCAAGGCGCUUGAGAGAACUCGGGUGAAGGAACUAGGCAAAAUGGCACCGUAACUUCGGGAGAAGGUGCGCCGGCUAGGGUGAAGGAUUUACUCCGUAAGCUCUGGCUGGUCGAAGAUACCAGGCCGCUGCGACUGUUUAUUAAAAACACAGCACUCUGCAAACACGAGAGUGGACGUAUAGGGUGUGACGCCUCCCCAGUGCCGGAAGGUUAAUUGAUGGGGUUAGCGCAAGCGAAGCUCUUGAUCGAAGCCCCGGUAAACGGCGGCCGUAACGAUAACGGUCCUAAGGUAGCGAAAUUCCUUGUCGGGUAAGCUCCGACCUGCACGAAUGGCGUAACGAUGGCGGCGCUGUCUCCACCCGAGACUCAGUGAAGUUGAAAUCGCUGUGAAGAUGCAGUGUAUCCGCGGCUAGACGGAAAGACCCCGUGAACCUUUACUGUAGCUUUGCACUGGACUUUGAGCCUGCUUGUGUAGGAUAGGUGGGAGGCUUUGAAGCGUGGACGCCAGUUCGCGUGGAGCCAUCCUUGAAAUACCACCCUGGCAUGCUUGAGGUUCUAACUCUGGUCCGUAAUCCGGAUCGAGGACAGUGUAUGGUGGGCAGUUUGACUGGGGCGGUCUCCUCCUAAAGAGUAACGGAGGAGUACGAAGGUGCGCUCAGACCGGUCGGAAAUCGGUCGCAGAGUAUAAAGGCAAAAGCGCGCUUGACUGCGAGACAGACUCGUCGAGCAGGUACGAAAGUAGGUCUUAGUGAUCCGGUGGUUCUGUAUGGAAGGGCCAUCGCUCAACGGAUAAAAGGUACUCCGGGGAUAACAGGCUGAUACCGCCCAAGAGUUCAUAUCGACGGCGGUGUUUGGCACCUCGAUGUCGGCUCAUCACAUCCUGGGGCUGAAGCCGGUCCCAAGGGUAUGGCUGUUCGCCAUUUAAAGUGGUACGCGAGCUGGGUUUAGAACGUCGUGAGACAGUUCGGUCCCUAUCUGCCGUGGACGUUUGAGAUUUGAGAGGGGCUGCUCCUAGUACGAGAGGACCGGAGUGGACGAACCUCUGGUGUUCCGGUUGUCACGCCAGUGGCAUUGCCGGGUAGCUAUGUUCGGAAAAGAUAACCGCUGAAAGCAUCUAAGCGGGAAACUUGCCUCAAGAUGAGAUCUCACUGGGAGCUUGAUUCCCCUGAAGGGCCGUCGAAGACUACGACGUUGAUAGGCUGGGUGUGUAAGCGUUGUGAGGCGUUGAGCUAACCAGUACUAAUUGCC
rnacentral:rRNA from 1 species